AACGAACGCUGGCGGCAGGCUUAACACAUGCAAGUCGAGCGCCUCGCAAGGGGAGCGGCAGACGGGUGAGUAACGCGUGGGGAUGUGCCUGGUGGUACGGAACAACUCAGGGAAACUUGAGCUAAUACCGUAUAAGCCCUUUUGGGGAAAGAUUUAUCGCCACCAGAUCAACCCGCGUUGGAUUAGCUAGUUGGUGAGGUAACGGCUCACCAAGGCGACGAUCCAUAACUGGUCUGAGAGGAUGAUCAGCCACACUGGGACUGAGACACGGCCCAGACUCCUACGGGAGGCAGCAGUGGGGAAUAUUGGACAAUGGGCGCAAGCCUGAUCCAGCCAUGCCGCGUGAGUGAUGAAGGCCCUAGGGUUGUAAAGCUCUUUCACCGGUGAAGAUAAUGACGGUAACCGGAGAAGAAGCCCCGGCUAACUUCGUGCCAGCCGCCGCCGUAAAAC
rnacentral:rRNA from 1 species